UUGUCUGACUGACACCCAAGAUUGCCUUGUAAAUUCCCUCUGAAUAAAUAUUUGACUACUUACCAACCUUGAAGGGUCUGCCUCUUUCUUUGGCCUGAGCUUAUGAAGAGCAGUUCUUGGUUCUGACAAAGUGUUUUCCCAAUACAAAGGGUUUAGACCCUCUAAGGAUGCAUAACUAGCCAAGGCAGAAAACCAGUCUCUUUGCCACAUAAGAUUUUAAUUCCAACAUUACUCCACAAUUAAUUGAUAAUAUACUAUAUCAUCUUUAUUUUUACUAUUGUUAGUUAAAAAUGUGGGUUUUUUGUUUGUUUGUUUCUUUCAAGUCAAGAAUCUACUAUAGCUGUUUAUGGUCUAUCAUAUUAGAUCUAAAUUCCAGUUGUUAUUUAAAUUUUUCAAUCUAGUAUCACCUAAUAUGAAUUAUCUCUCCAAUUAAUUUGGUUUCAGGUUAUUUUUCACUGAAGCCAGGGAGUACAAAUUAGGUCUGAAACCUGUAAGUUUUAAAACAGGGUCUGCCUUGGGAAAUCUAGGGCAUCAGGUUCUUAGAUGAUAGGACAAUGCAAGCCAGGCAGUAGUGUCUUAGCUAAGCACCCUCUGAGCCAGUGAGCAGUUGGCUCUAUUUAAAUCAGUUAAAAAUAGACUAACCAGCAGUUAAAAUUUUCAGCACAGCAAAAAGCAGUGAGGACAAGGUUUAUUCUUUGAUCUCUAAAGGUUUGCUUCAUUGAGCCUGAUAAUGGUGCAUGACGUGAAGAAUGUUAGCUAUACUGUGGUCUCACAUUACCUUGGUUUUACUUAGUCAUCAGUGUAAUUUAUCUAAGGGCAACUUGCCGCUAAAAAAAGAGCUCAGCUUGAAGGCUUCUAGCUUACACAGCAGGAGUUUCUGGAAAUUUUACUGCUGGUGGUGGUGGAUAGAAGGCAGAGAUAUGGCCAGUAUCAAACGAGAUUAUGUCCUGGGAAUUCAGAGAUUACAGUCUGAAGAAUUCAAGGUUUGACCUCCUUUAAAGAACCUUCAUAUCAUCUUGCCCUGCAUGAAAUGUAUUAGGAGCCUUCCCUCUGUUCUUUGAUAAUAUUUUUCAAAGAUAUUAUCAUUUACAAAAUGGAAUUCCAAUGACUUGUUCAUAUGUCCAUCUUCAAGUGGUCUGGGAAUACCAAUGACUUGUUCAUGUCCAUCUUCAAGUGGUCUGGGAAUACCAAUGACUUGUUCAUAUGUCCAUCUUCAAGUGGUCUGGGAAUACCAAUGACUUGUUCAUAUGUCCACCUUCAAGUGGUCUAUCAAGUAAGCAUGUACUUAUGCGAGUCUUUCCAGAGGAUAUCAUUAACCUGAGUCAAUAGUUGAGAAAACUAAUCAAAUGGAUGUAAGUCCAUGUUUUUAUUUGUAAAUAAAAGUUUUGCCAAAAAAUUACAUACAAAGAACAAUGUCUCAAGAGACAUGCGAUAAUCAAAAUCCACAAAAUAAUACUUACAUAUAUUUUUGUUUAGAGAUUUGAAUAAAUGAACUACAAUUUAAGGAGAAUAUUGCAUUUCUUUUGAGAUAACCCCUUAAAUUUUACAUUCUGUUUCAAGGC
rnacentral:lncRNA from 1 species